ACGCUCGACACCUACGGAGGCAGCAGUGGGGAAUAUUGCACAAUGGGGGAAACCCUGAUGCAGCGACGCCGCGUGAGCGAAGAAGUAUCUCGGUAUGUAAAGCUCUAUCAGCAGGGAAGAAGAUGACGGUACCUGACUAAGAAGCACCGGCUAAAUACGUGCCUGCAGCCGCGGUAAUCUGAGCGGGCUGGCAAGGC
rnacentral:rRNA from 1 species